ACGAACGCUGGCGACGUGGAUAAGGCAUGCAAGUCAAGGGGGCCCGCAAGGGCAACCGGCAAACGAGGUAGUAAGACGCAGGAAUCUACCCGGAAGUUAAGCAUAGCUCGUCGAAAGACGAGGUAAUUCUUAAUAGUCUCGCAAGAGUAAAGGCGCAAGCCGCUUCUGGAAGAGCCUACGCAGUAUCAGCUAGUUGGUGAGGUAAUGGCUCACCAAGGCUACGACGCUUAGGGGAGGUGAGAGCCUGACCCCCACCGAUAGCACUGAGACACGGGCUAUACACCUACGGGUGGCUGCAGCCGAGAAUAUUCGACAAUGGGCGAAAGCCUGAUCGAGCGACGUCGCGUGAUGGAUGAAGUCUUUCGGGAUGUAAACAUCUUUUCCGAGGGAGAAAGUCGGCCUAAAGCCGAUUGAUGUUACCUUGGGAAUAAGGGGUUGCUAAACUCGU
rnacentral:rRNA from 1 species